CUAUGACACAAUCUGUUGAUGGGCAACUUGUUGUUUCUCAGGUUCUGGUGUCUGACAUUAAUAUUGGAUAUGAGGAGAUAGUUAACACUCAGGUUCUUGCUUUCAAUGGUAAGCCUGUGAAGAAUCUGAAGAGCUUGGCCACCAUGGUUGAGAACUGUGAUGAUGAGUUUCUAAAGUUUGAUCUGGAAUACCAACAGGUGGCCUCAUAUUAUUGUUCCAACCUUUAAAAUUACUGCGGUGGAAUGUUUGCAGAAGAUCCAGAUUGGGGAACAAAUAUCACUA